UACAAAGGGGGCGAGCGUUGUUCGGAAUUACUGGGCGUAAAGGGCGCGUAGGCGGCGAACCAAGUCAGAUGUGAAAGUCCUGGGCUUAACCUGGGGACUGCAUUUGAUACUGGUUUGCUUGAAUUCGGGAGAGGAUAGCGGAAUUCCUGGUGUAGCGGUGAAAUGCGCAGAUAUCAGGAGGAACACCGAUGGCGAAGGCAGUGUUCUGGGCCAGUACUGACGCUGAGGAGCGAAAGCGUGGGGAGCAAACAGG
rnacentral:rRNA from 1 species